AUAAGACUAUUAAAAACCUCGACUUUGGGUUUCCCAGGGCUUGCCUGAACGCCCAAGUACUUGAAAGGAAUAACGCCACGAGAAAAUCCAGACUGGGCAGUCAUGCUGUCCACUUCUUCAUUUGUACAUCUGGCAAUAAAGAUAUUAGAGUUGGAUGUAUUAAUACCCAGUCCAGAGACACUUCGAAAGUGCUCAAUACAAUUCAAAAGAAGACCAAUCAAAUGAGAAUCAGCUCUCGAGAGGAGGAUGAUAUCAUAGGAAAAAGCAAAGUGAGUGAUCUUGAGAGCCGAGCAUCCCGGAUGAAAGUUCAUCUCUUUAUCUGCACUUUCUCUUUUAAGGAGCCGAGAGAAGUACUCCAUGCAAAUAAUAAAAAGGUAAGGGGAUAGAGGAUCCCCUUGUCGCAAGCCUUUUUUACCUUGGAAGAGCCCAUAGAAAUUCCCGUUGAUCCCUAAAGAAAAGGAAGCUGUGGAAACACACUCCAUAAUCAAAUCCACCAACUUCGUCGGGAAAUUAAGAAGAAGAAACAACCCUCUAAGAAAAUCCCAGGAAACUGAAUCAAAAGCUUUGGAGAGCUCCAGUUUAAUCAUACAUCAAGGGGAGCUCCUUUUUCGAUGAUAAUGCUUGAGGAGCUCUUGGAGAAGGAGGAUGUUCUCAUUCAUAUUUUUGUCCUUGAACAAAAGCCCCUUGAGCGAGAUCAAUAAUUUCCGGCAGGGCGAGUUUGAUGCGGGAUCUUGGAGAUGAUUUUAUAAACCACCUUGCAACAUGCAAUCGGCCUGUAGUCCCCAACAAAUGAGCAGCAUGCUGAUUUGGGAAUGAGGACUAGGUUCGUGUGGUUAUUCUCUUUUAGGAGCUUUCCGUGUAUAAAGAAGUCAAUGACAGCUUCACAAACAUCAGCUCCCACAAUAUCCCACGCAGGCAGGAAGAAACCAGCAGAGUAUCCGUGCUGCCUGGUGCUUUAUUAGUAUCCAUAGCUUUAAUAUCCGCAAGAAUUUCAUUUGGUGUGACGGGACCAAGGAGAUCAGGGUGAAUAGAAUCUGGAAUGCACAACCCCCCAAGAAUAAGUGCCAAGGAGAUCGGUAUAGAAGCCCGAGAAUUCCCCGAUAACUUGCUCGAUAGAGGUAGUGAUCGAGCCAUCAGCUUUAGUAAGUGAGACGAUGCAAUUUCUCUUCGCAUUCCUUUUAACAAGCGAUAGCUGUUGUUUGGAGACGAGCUGCAUCUUCCCUAAGCGAGGAGAGAAGUUCUGAGUCCGCCUGAGAUGGAUUAGCAGCCUGUGCAGAUUUCAGCUUAUCAAUGGCACAUUUACUCCUCUCUAAAAUGUGGGAGAAAUGCCUUUUAUUAAGAUCCAACAACCCUUUUUUUAGAUGCUUAAGCUUGGAAGCAAGACUGAAUUGAGCGAACCCAUAAACAGGGAGACUCCAAGCAGAGGAUAAUUGGUCUCAAAAUAGGGAACUUUGGAGCUCAAGAAAGUGCCACAGAGGCAAUUGAUUUGCAGUCGGAGUCGGAAAGGAUCAUGAGUGCAGAGGUG